rnacentral:rRNA from 1 species
UACGAAGGGGGCUAGCGUUUGUUCGGAAUUACUGGGCGUAAAGCGUGCGCAGGCGGUUCGUUGUGUCGGUGGUGAAAGCUCCGGGCUCAACCUGGGAAUGGCCAUGGAAACUGGCGAACUGGAGUGUGGCAGAGGGGGGUGGAAUUCCGCGUGUAGCAGUGAAAUGCGUAGAUAUGUGGAGGAAUACCGAUGGCGAAGGCAGCCCCCUGGGAUAACACUGACGCUCAUGCACGAAAGCGUGGGGAGCAAACAGG